rnacentral:rRNA from 1 species
CCUACGGGCGGCAGCAGUGAGGAAUAUUGGUCAAUGGGCGAGAGCCUGAACCAGCCAAGUCGCGUGAGGGAAGACGGUCCUACGGAUUGUAAACCUCUUUUGUCAGGGAGCAAGGAGCGCCACGAGUGGUGCGGCGAGAGUACCUGAAGAAAAAGCAUCGGCUAACUCCGUGCCAGCAGCCGCGGUAAUACGGAGGAUGCGAGCGUUAUCCGGAUUUAUUGGGUUUAAAGGGUGCGUAGGCGGCCUUUUAAGUCAGCGGUGAAAGUCUGUGGCUCAACCAUAGAAUUGCCGUUGAAACUGGGAGGCUUGAGUAUGUUUGAGGCAGGCGGAAUGCGUGGUGUAGCGGUGAAAUGCUUAGAUAUCACGCAGAACCCCGAUUGCGAAGGCAGCCUGCCAAGCCAUGACUGACGCUGAUGCACGAAAGCGUGGGGAUCAAACAGGAUUAGAUACCCCGGUAGUC